UUGUCCUACGGGGGGCAGCAGUGAGGAAUAUUGGUCAAUGGGCGGGAGCCUGAACCAGCCAAGUCGCGUGAGGGAAGACGGUCCUAUGGAUUGUAAACCUCUUUUGUCGGGGAGCAAAGAGAUCACGUGUGGUCAAAAGCGAGAGUACCCGAAGAAAAAGCAUCGGCUAACUCCGUGCCAGCAGCCGCGGUAAUACGGAGGAUGCGAGCGUUAUCCGGAUUUAUUGGGUUUAAAGGGCGCGCAGGCGGCACGGCAAGCCGGCGGUCAAAUCGCGGGGCUCAACCCCG
rnacentral:rRNA from 1 species